rnacentral:rRNA from 1 species
GUUUGAUCCUGGCUCAGGACGAACGCUGGCGGCGCGCUUAACACAUGCAAGUCGUACGGGGGCCUUCGGGCUUCAGUGGCGAACGGGUGCGUAACACGUGAGCAAUCUGCCCUUGUGCGGGGGAUAACCAGAGGAAACUCUGGCUAAUACCGCAUGAUAUCUUCUGGCUGAUGGCCUAAAGAUCAAAGCUGCUGUGAGGCAGUGCGCAGGGAGGAGCUCGCGGCGUAUCAGCUAGUUGGUGAGGUAACGGCUCACCAAGGCGAUGACGCGUAGGGGGUCUGAGAGGAUGGCCCCCCACAUUGGGACUGAGAUACGGCCCAGACUCCUACGGGAGGCAGCAGUGGGGAAUCUUGCGCAAUGGCCGAAAGGCUGACGCAGCGACGCCGCGUGCGGGAGGACGCUUUUCGGAGUGUAAACCGCUGUCAGGUGGGACGAAGGUCCGGGGGAGGAAAUGCUCUCGGGAUGACGGUACCGCCAAAGGAAGCACCGGCUAACUCCGUGCCAGCAGCCGCGGUAAUACGGAGGGUGCGAGCGUUGUUCGGAAUUAUUGGGCGUAAAGCGCACGUAGGCGGCUUUGUAAGUCUCACUGUGAAAGCCCGGGGCUCAACCCCGGGACUGCAGGGGAUACUGCGAGGCUUGAGUCAAGUAGAGGUUGGUAGAAUUCCGGGUGUAGCGGUGGAAUGCGUAGAGAUCCGGAGGAAUACCAGAGGCGAAGGCGGCCAACUGGACUUGUACUGACGCUGAGGUGCGAAAGCGUGGGGAGCGAACAGGAUUAGAUACCCUGGUAGUCCACGCCGUAAACGAUGGGCACUAGAUGCCGGAGGGAACGACCCCCUCGGUGUCGAAGCUAACGCAUUAAGUGCCCCGCCUGGGGAGUACGGCCGCAAGGCUGAAACUCAAAGGAAUUGACGG